GUAGGUGGCAAGCGUUGUCCGGGAAUUAUUGGGGCGUAAAGCGCGCGCAGGCGGUUCUUUAAGUCUGAUGUGAAAGCCCACGGGCUCAACCGUGGAGGGUCAUUGGAAACUGGAGAGCUUGGGUACAGAAGAGGAAAGCGGAAUUCCACGUGUAGCGGUGAAAUGCGUAGAGAUGUGGAGGAACACCAGUGGCGAAGGCGGCUUUCUGGUCUGUAACUGACGCUGAGGCGCGAAAGCGUGGGGAGCAAACAGGAUUAGAUACCCUGGUAGUCCACGCCGUAAACGAUGAGUGCUAAGUGUUAGGGGGUUUCCGCCCCUUAGUGCUGCAGCUAACGCAUUAAGCACUCCGCCUGGGGAGUACGGCCGCAAAGGCUGA
rnacentral:rRNA from 1 species